rnacentral:rRNA from 1 species
GAUGAACGCUGGCGGCGUGCCUAAUACAUGCAAGUCGAGCGAACAGAUGGGGAGCUUGCUCCUCUGACGUUAGCGGCGGACGGGUGAGUAACACGUGGAUAACCUACCUAUAAGACUUGGAUGACUUCGGCAAACAGGAGCGACUACCGCGUAAUAUAUUGAACCUCUUGGUUCAUUGGUCAAGGACGGUUUUGGUUUCAGUUAUGGAUGGACCCGCGCCGCAUUAGCUAGUUGGUAAGGUAACGGCUUACCAAGGCAGCGAUGAGUAGCCGACCUGAGAGGGUGAUCGGCCACACCGGAACGGAGACACGGUCCAGACUCCUACGGGAGGCAGCAGUAGGGAAUCUUCCGCAACGGGCGAAAGCCUGACGGAGCAACGCCGCGUGAGGGAUGAAGGUCUUCGGAUCGUAAAACUCUGUUAUUAGGGAAGAACAAAUGUGUAAGUAACUAUGCACGUCUUGACGGUACCUAAUCAGAAAGCCACGGCUAACUACGUG